UUUUUUUUUUUUUUCUAAACUUGAACUCCAAAUUUAAUUUUCAUGUUCAAAUACCUAUCUAAAAUAUAUCAAAAUGUCCUUAAAUUUUAAUAAUUUUAAAAAUAAAGAAUUACUAAAAAUGAGAAGUGACAUUUUAUUAAAUGAAUUAAAAAGAGGAGUGAGAUUUUUUAUAAACUUGAGAUCACAUUCGAAAUCAUAAAUUUCAAAAUUUUGAAUAAGUCUACGUUUUCUUCUAUAUAAUUAAUGUCACUUCUCUUUAGCUCCAUAUACUUGAAAAUUUGAAACAAUGAGGCGUUCGUUAAUAUCCUUUCUCGUAUAUGAAUUAGUUAUGCAGGUCCACUGCAAAUGUUAUAGUGUUUCUGUCGAAGCAUUACUCAAGGCCGUUGAAGAGUUAAAAAGUCUAGAUCGGAAUGAGGAUAGAGAGGCACCAACACCACCAACACCACAACAUAAUGUAAGGUCACACCAUGGGAGGAUGAGGCGGAGCAGGGGCAGGGGGCACCAUCGGUCACCAGGCCAACUACUACCACUACAAGCUCCAUCACCACCAUCUUCAUCAAUUCUACCACCAUCACUAUCACCACCACCAUCACGUCUAUUACCACCACCAUCACCUCCACUAUCACUACCACUACCAUCACUAUAAUUAUGAGAAGAUCUGUAGAUUUUAUUAACCGAAUCACGUAAAGUUUGCACAGAAAUUGAUCUUGAUUUUGAAUAUUAAGUUCGUUUUCUGAUCUUGCAAAAAAUAUAUAUGCAUAGAGGUGAACUCGAAAUUUGAAAUUUAUGACUUUUAGUAUUAAAUUUUACGGUCGAGCCUAUUUGAUUUACUGGCUUGAAUAAUCUAUUAUUAUUAUUUAGAAAUAUACAUAUGCUUUUAAGGCUUUCAGUUUCCCUAUGCUUCUCAUAAUUAAAUGCUACUUAAUAUUUAAAUUCACAACGUAAGAAAUAUUUGCAGUAUGAUCUCAAAUAUUCGAAUAUGGUGUUAUUUUCUGUCUUUUAUAAAUUAAUAUAUAAAUACUCUAGUUGUUAUACCAAAUAUAUAUGAGAUUGAAACAAUUCUUAAAAAACAAGUACACACAUUUUUCUCUAUAUAUAAAUCUUAUCAAUGGUCCUGAAGUUUGAGUUUAUGGAAUUUAAAUUGUAAAAAAAAACAUAAGCUUACUGGAUUCUUGAAUAAAUUAUUUAUGCACAUUUUAAAUUAACUAGAUUUCUACGUAUUACACGAAUACUAAAUUUUGACCACAAUUAUUGUGUUCUGUCUAACCUCGUAUAUAGUUUCCACUUUAGCUCCGUCCAUGAUUUUACUCAAGUAUUCUACGUUUGACGUCGUGCUCCAGGGAAGCGAUAAUACAUUUGAAUCGCUUUAAAGUUGGACGGGAUCAACAAUUUAGGAAUAAUUAAACCUAAAAAAUUUAAAGAGAAAAGGCUUAAAUAUGUCAUCGAACUACUAAAAAUGGAUCAUCUAUGUCAUAUGUUAUAAGUUUCGCUCAUCUAUGUCGUCGCCACCUAGAAAAGUUUGACUCAUCUACACUACUUUAGUUACACAAAGGUUCAUUCAUACUAUUAUUGUACAACGAUGAUUUUAUAAAUCAAUUUUAUCACAUUACCUUUUAUUAAAAAUCCACGUCGCGCAAUCUAAAUAUUUGAACCUUUUCCAUAUUUAAAUAGGGAGUUAGGGUGCCAAUAGUUUGAUUGGACUGGUUACUUGAAUAAAUUUAUGCUAUACUGGAUUUUAGUUUAAUUCAAUUAUAUGUAAUCAAAAUUAGGAAAGUUUCAAAUAUCUUGGUAUAUCAAAGUUGAAAACUUUGGGGCUGUAUCCACAUCAAGGUGACGAGAUUUGAAUUUAUAGCCUUAUGUAUCCAGUAUAAAUGCACUGAUCAGACUGCCCCACACCUCGUUUUACCACCCCAAAUUAUAUAGAUUCACUUGAUCGAUGAACAAUUAGAUCAAACUCACCUAUCCUUUUGGAUACAGAGAUACAAGGUUUGAGCCUUUUUCCAUUAAUAUUAUUUUUAAUAGUUUAAUAACAUAUUUAAGUUUUUUUCUAUUAAUUUAAGAUAUACAUUAUUAAUAAAAUGAUAUAUAUUAUUAUUUAUUAAUAAGAUGAUCAACUAAUAGAACAAGAUUAGAAUGCAGAGGACUUGAGAUAUAUAUUAUUAUUUAUUAGUAAGAUGAUCAACUAAUAAAACAAUAUUUUAUUAUUAGUGGUUUAUGAAGCUGUACAUAUUCAGCAAGUUUGGAAUAAGAAUAACCAAACUACUAUAAAUUAAAUUAUUUUGUGGAUUUUAACCUAUAUAUAAUCUACUGAUUAUUUUACAUUACUAGUUGUUUAAGAAUAUAAUUAUAACGUUGAUUUUCUUGACCCUUUUGACUCACUAGUCACCAUUAGCGCAUUAUUUUAUGGAAAAAUUACAUAAGUCAACACCUAAACUUUUCAAUAUUACUUUAAAUACCAUCUUACUAAAUAUAUUACAAAAAUCUCUUCUAACUCAUAAAAUCCUAAUAUUUGCUGAUACAUUACAACUCACCCUAUUUUUGUGCCUCUUACUCCUUAAAACUCGCCCAAAAUCAUGGUAAAAUAUCUGAUAAAUUUAUCAAUUCAACAAUUACAAUCGUGUUAUCAACUUAUCAUCCACUACUUCAACAUAUUCAAACUUCAACUUCCAAUUACAACCUCCAUUAACUUUUUUCCUCAAAUUUAUUUGGAGGUUAAUUUGUUUUCAUAACUUUUUUUACAAAUUUGUUAAUUUGUUUUCAAAUUCACAAUCGUAAUUAACUUUUUUCAAUUUUUCAAAUUCUCCAUUAACAAUCGUGUUAAUUUAUUUUCAAAUUUACAAUCUCCAUUAACUUUUUUCUUCAAAUUUAUCUGAAUAUGAAGAAGAAAUUAUGGGAGGCUACUGGUAGUAGUCAUAAAGUCUAUUGUUGUAUCUACAAAGUAGAAAAGGCAGCAAGUUACAAAAAGAAACCAUUUAUCAAAGGUAUGAAUUACAUGUUUUGAAGUGAAUCCGAUACAUAAGUUUAAUGCACUGAGACAUUGCAUGGUUUCCAAUACAUAGUGAAAUUUACAUGUGAUUUAGGUUCUUUUUUAAUAUCUGAUAUAUUCACUUUACUGAGUUUGAUACAUAGUUCUAAGGUUUCUGAUACAUAAGAGACAUUGUAGUCUUUCUGAUACAUACUAAUAUUUAUAUGUGUUUUGGUUCUUGUAAACCUGACACAUUAAUAUGUCGAGUACAUAUAUCUAAUUUUAACGACAUAUUGCAUUAUUUUAUGAUAUAUAAUAAGAAAUUGCAUGUAAUUUGAGUUAGUUUACACUUGAUACAUUCAACAUACUUAUUAUGAUUCGUAAAUCAAUUUUUAAGAGAUAUAUCAUUAUAUCUGAUACAUAAUAAAUUUUGAAAUUGUUAUGAAUUAUUUUGCAACUGAUAUAUUCAAAAUAUUGGGUACAACUGAUACAUAUGUAUUGCAUUUAUAGUUCAUCCAAAACUACAUGUUGUAUCUUAUGUAUCAUUAUCAAUUAUAUGUUUUGGAUUAGGUACGUAUAAGUUUUUCUGACAUUUUGUGCAUAUUUUGAUUUUAGAGCAUUUGGGAGAAUUAUGAUUGGAGAAGGUUAAUUAUGGUGAUUCAAAUUUUAAUUAUGAAGUUGUUACUAAUUUUCAGAGAUCCAAGAGACAUAUCCCAAUCAAAAUCCCAUUAAUUGCUCUAUCAUUUAAUUCCAUAUCAUUAUUUUCCUUUUUUAUAGUCAAUUAGUUUGGUAGUUAUGUAUCUGUCGGUUAUGUAUCAGGACCAAACUUAUGUAUCAUAUCCGGAAUAUGAAGUAAUUAAUAUAAAAGUUGGGAGAGAGAGUAAUUAGGUAGCAAACUAUUGGUAUUUAUGUUGUUUACCCUUAUUUUAUCGAUCUUUGGAAUUAAAACUCCAUAGAAAAUGAACAAAGGUAAGAGAAACUAAUAUAAAUUGGAAUGCAUAUUGUAGAUUCAUUAUUAGAAAAUUUGAAAGAAUGAGGGCAAUAACUAUAAUUUCAUUUUUGCUAAUAUCUUUGAUCAUCCAUGAAUUAAUUUGUGUUGAAUUAGUGGCAUCAAGGUCCAUGCAAUAUGAAUAUGGUAAUUCCUUCAAGGAAGUGUUUUCUCAAUUCAAAGUAGCAAGAGAGCUAAGAGGUUUUGGUUUUAGAGGCAAAAUAACAAUGUCAUAAUCAGAGUCUAAUAAGGAAUCUCAUAUGCAUCUCCCUCUUGUGAAGCCACCACCACCAUCACCACUAUUACCAUCACCAUCACCUCCAUCAACACGAACAAACAAAACGUGAGCUAGCUGAUGGGAGUGGAGUUAGAAUUUUGAGUUUAUAGGAUUUUAAGAAAAGACAAUUUACUCUGUUCUGUCGUGUUUAGAAGUAGAUCUGUAGCUCUAUGUUGUGAACCAAGCCAACUUUGCAAGGGGCUUUGGGUUAGAAGUGGUGGAUUGGGUUGAUCCAAUUGAGAUUACUGGACCUUUUGAAAUGUUGGAGUGCUUUAUUUGGGAUCCGGAUUCAAUUGUCGCUUAGUUAAAUAGUACUUGGGAUUAAACAGAACGAUCUAGGCGUAUUGUUGUGAAGCUUUGGUUGGUCUGUUGUUCUCUCAUCUCCAUUCUAUGUCUAGUAUCACUACAACAAAAUACAUAUACAACUAUAAAAUACGUCGUAGCUAAAUAUAAAAAAUUUCGUAGCUAAACACUUUAGUCAUAAUUUUUUUUCAUAGCAUUCGUAGCUAAUAGUUAGCUACAGACGUUACAUGGUUCAUGGCUAAGGACUAAUCCAUAUAGCUACGAAAGAAUUUGUGUUGUAGCUGUGAUGGUAAAAAUAAUUUGCUACGAGAUAUGUACUAAUAGCAAUAAGUUUAAUCUCAUGUCACGAUUAAUAAAAUUUAUAGCAAUUUUAAUUUUAUAGAGACAAUGUUUUCUAUAGUGACAAAAGACCUGAUUUGUUUGCUAUGAAAAUUCAAACUUUGUUGCUAUAUUAUAUUUUAGUCUCGUGGCAUAAAUAAUUGUAUUUAGCUAUGAAUUAGAAAAUCUAUAGCUAUAAAUUGAAAUAUUUGCCACAAACAUUUUUGUACAUAGCAAAAAAUUCAUUGUUUUUGGCAAGAAUUAAAUAAAUUUUAUCUAUUAUUAAAAAUAUUUGCUAGGAAAAGUGAAAAAUUAUAGCCCUAUUUUGGAUAGUUAAAUAUAAAGUUUUAACCACGACUAUAAAAAUUCAUUGCUACAAAUUGAAGAAUAUUUUCAUAAAAAAUUAUUAAUUACAAAAAAAAUUAUAAUAUAGCUAAAAUUUAAAAAAUAAAUCCAAAAAUUUAAAGCAACACAUAAGUACAUUCAGAUUAAUUACAAUACAUAAUUCUUCUGUGAUAGCAAUUACAAUAACAUCAUCUUGCCUAAGAUCCUAAAUGAUAUAGUCUCUUCUCUUUCUUAUGUCAUUGUCUUGAAGGUGCUCUAAUCUCACAAGCUCACCUGCGAAUUUUCGAUAAAAUAAAUUAUUGCCAAAAAAAAAAAACAAUUGUAUCACAUAUAUAAUUUAAAAGGUAGCGUAAUAAUAUAUUUUACCUAAAAUAUGUUUACCGAAAUCUCUGAUAACAUUCUUAAAUGACCAAUUUUCAUUAGAUAAUGAAACUCAAUAAUCUUCAAAGGAAUCACAAGAUUCGAAAAUUUAAUCUUUUGCAUGAAUUUUUUUUUUUUUUAAUAAAGCUUUGAAAACCUACCCAUAUUAAAAUGCAAAAUAACAAACAUUUGAUUCUAAUGGUGUAUACAGUAAAAAGAUAUCACUUUUACUCAAAAAAAAAAAAAAUAUUUAGAAAGCAAAAGUCCAACUUACUUGGGCCUUUGGGCCACAGGUGACAAAAGAGUUUUAAAAUGAGGUGUACGUGACACAAUUCUUAAUUAUUAGUUGGAGGUGACAAUUACUUUAUUAUGGAUUAAGAAAAUUGAAAAAGUUUAAAAAUAACCCACAAGUUUUUAAAUUUACACUUUGAUCUCAAUAUUUACCUAAAAUUAUGGGAAACGGAGGAAAAAAGGCACUUUUCUCUUUCUUCUCAUCCAUUGUUGUUUUCUCUCUCUUAGCGAUUUUUGUUGUUCAUUGUUUCUGCUGCUUUAUUCAUCAUCUUCUGCUUCAUUAUCAUUAUCUUCUACUUCAUUAUCAUCCUCAUCUUCUUCUUGUCGACCAUUUAUCGUCGUUGUUGUUGUUGGUACAACUCUACUGCUGCUAUCUGACUAAUUUCUUAGGUCAAAUUUUAUUUACUACAUCACUUUCUACUUUGGCAUUACUUCAUAGGUGACUUUGGUAAGUAAAAUUAUGAUUUUUAUUCGUAUUUGUCAUCUGGGUACACUUCUAUUUUUCCAAUAAUGGAUAGAGCCUCGAUCAUGAAUCUAGCAUAAGUGCCCACAAUUUAAAUAGAUCAAUCAUCUGGUGCAUCAAAUGAGUAAUCUGUUGCAUCAGAAGAUUUAUCUGUUGCAUCAGACUGUUUAUCCGUUGCAUCAAAAGAUUUAUCUGUUGCAUCAGGAUAUUUAUCUGUUGCACCAAACUAAUUAUCUGUUGCAACGAAUGAUUAAUCUAUUUGGAACAACACAAAUCAGCCCCUGCCACAAACCCAACAGAUAACCAAUAUGUUUCAACUCUUGCUAUUGCUACUGGAUCCAAAAUUAUUCCUUACGUCCAAUUACCCGUCCCAAAUUCCCUAAUUCAAUUUCUCAUUUUACUUGUCUUUUUCAUUAAUCAAGAAAAGAUUAAAAAAAAUUCAUGUUUUACCCUUUGCAUUAAUCACUUUUUCUUCAAAGUAAAAUGAAAACAUCAUUUAAUAGGGGGACUAUACGUCGACCGACGUUAAAAGCUUUCUUCUCUUAUGAAAUUUCGAUUGAAUAGCAAACAAUGGUUAUUUCAAACACGUUUACUGUCUAACCAACUGAUCAGUGGGUUAUGGUAAACUAGACAUGUUAUUAAUUAUUUUUCUUAAUCAAUGUGGUGUCUCAAUUUGGGAUGGGUAAUUUGAGAUGAACGGAGUACGAAUUAAAACGUCAGAGCCAAGCAAAAAACUAAUCAUCUAUUGAAAUAGACUAUUUAUCUGUUGCAUCAGACUUCUUAUCUGUUGCAACAUGAGUAAUCUGUUUUGAACAACACAUUAGCCCCUGCCACAAACCCAACAGAUAAAUCUUGUUAUUGCUACUGGAUUCUAAAUUAUUCCUUUUUACGUCGAAUCUUCGACAUGUUUGUUGAGAAUAUAAUGGAAAGAAUGAAAAUUAACUAUGGAUUAAAACGUCAAAGAUCAAACAUAAUUUUUUUUAUUAAAUAAAAAGAAAUAAAAAUACAUAUAAUAGACUAAAAGAAAAAUAAUAAUCUAAUUAUUGUUAUUGUUAUUAUUAUUAUUAAUAUUAACAUCAUCAUCAUCAUCAUCAUCAUCAUCAUCAUCAUCAUCAUCAUCAUCAUCAUCAUCAUCAUCAUCAUCAUCAUCAUCAUCAUCAUUGCCAGUCGGCCAAUCUUCAAUCGGAAGUAGCAAGACCCUCCUCAGCCUGCGUAUCUCGCGGAGCAUUCUUGCUCUAACUCCUCCCAAUUCCCAUUGCAGGUCACGAACUUGAUUCUGAAGUUCAUUCACGGCGUCUUGCANNNNNNNNNNNNNNNNNNNNNNNNNNNNNNNNNNNNNNNNNNNNNNNNNNNNNNNNNNNNNNNNNNNNNNNNNNNNNNNNNNNNNCCUAUUUAUAGAGGAUUGAAUUUGAAUGAGAGGCAAAAAGGCGCGACUUUUCACCUCCAUUCAUUAAUUACAUUUUUUACUAAAUUAAGAAAAUAAAUAUUGUGAUAAGUCAUGACUUUUCAGAUUAUUAUUAUUAAUUAGUUCUUUCCAAGAACCGUUUUUAUUGGGUUGUGGCAACAGAUUCUAUAUCUGUUGCAUCAGAUAAUACAUCUGUGAAAACAGAUAUAUCAUCUGUUGCAACAAAUAUAAAAUAUGUUGCAUCAGAUAACCUAUCUGUUGCAACAUAUAAUCUAACUGUUCACCUUCAUUUAUUAAUUACAUUUUUGAUUAAUGUGAAAAGUAAUGACUUAAUUAAAUUAAGAAAUAUUGUGAUAAGUCAUGACUUUUUAGAUUAUUAUUAUUAAUUAGUUCUUUCCAAAGACCGUUUUUAUUGAGUUGUGACAACAAAUUCUAUAUCGGUUGCAUCAGAUAAAUCAUCUGUGACAACAGAUAUAUCAUAUGUUGCAAUAAUAGUGAACCUGUUGCAUCAGAAAUACGUUUGUUGCAACAUAUAAUCUACUUUUAAAAAAAAACUAUCAUCAUAUCAUUAAUUCAUAUUUACUGACUUUUUUAUUUUAUGAAUUAAAAAAAAUACCUUUUUAAAUUCUUUAGUAAAAUAAUAACCAUUUUAUUUUCUGGCAACAGAUUGUAUAUCUGUUGAAUCUGAUAAACCAUCAGUUGCAAUAGAUAUACCAUCUGUAGCAACAAAUAGACGUUCUAUAUUAAUAUCUUUUUUGAUUUUUUCUAACAGCUGAUACAUCAGUCACAACAGAUGGGGAAUUUGAUGCAUCGGCAACACUGAUGAAUAUAUGUGUUUUUGUUUUAGACAAAAAGUCACGACCGGCCUUCACCUUAUUUUUCUUAACAAUCAUCAUAUAAGUUAAUUCAUCCAAUAUUGUGACAUUUUUAUUAUAUAAUAAAUAAUUUUAAAAAAUAAAUUCAAAAAUAAAGAUGGUGAAAAGUCACGAUCAGUUAUUAAAAUUAAAUAACCGUUCUUUUACGGUUAUGAAUUAUAUUUAUAAUUUAUUUUCUUAUUAUUUAUUUACGAAAUAUUUUUCACAUUAAAUAAUCAAAAAGUCAUGGCUUUUUCACCUCUCAAUAACAACAAUAACUCUUUUUUAUUAAUAACCGCCUGGUGCAACAUAUGAUCGAUCUGUCGCAUCAGAUUAACCUGUAUUAAUACAAAUUUCUCAAUCCCUACCACCAACCGUCGACAUGUUGAGAACAAGGAAUAAACAAAAAGAAUUAAAAAUUCAAAGUCGACCACCAAAUGAAACAUAGAUUUUUGAAUCCCUUGGGUAGAUCCGAUAUACAAAAAGAGGAAAAUACAUGCACUAAAAUAAAAAAUAUUAUCUAAUUAUUAUUACUACUAUUAUUAUUAUUGUCAAUCAGACAUUUUUCAUCCGGCAGCCUUGCUCUGAAGUCAGCCAGAUCUCUCUGGAGUUCAUCAAACUGCCUUUAAAGUUAAUGCAAGGACUCGAUAUGAAUAUUCUUGUACGAAUCUGGAUCAUCCAUAUUUGUAAGGAGGGACCUAUUUUUAAAUUAUUAUAUCUCGAAAAGAAAAGAAAAUUGCUUUAAAAUAAAUCUAUUAGAUGAGUAAUCUGUUGCAAAAUAUAUUCUUUCUGUUAGAUAAAUUACAACAUACUGGCAAUCUCUUGCAACAGAUGUAUAUAUCUGUUUGAUUUCUCCAACAGAUACGUCAUAUGUUGCAACAGGUUGAUCAUUUGUCGUAACAGAUGUCUCCAAUUGUUUGACAAUAGAAACAAAUGUGUCAUCUGUUGCAACUAGCUAGUCAUCUGCUUAUUCAAUUUAAGCCAUAGAUGGGCUACAACAAGUAUCUAAUCUUCUCCAAGGAAUGUUGAAAGCAUGCUAAGACAAGAAAACACAAUCAAUUAUAACCAUAUUGUUAAGGGAGCGAAUUAGUUGUGUUUUAAUCUUUUGUAGAUUCCUCAAAUUAUAUUCUCCACAAUGAGUACAUGGAUUUAUCUUGAUUUGUCCCAUAAUUUUAAGAUACAUAGAAUCAAAGUCAAUUCUUGGUCAACUCAACACUUUCUCUGGGUCAAUGAGUUAAAUAUGUAAUCAAAAUCUAAUCAUAAUUCAAGAAGUUAGUAAAAAUAUGUUUAUCGAUAUUAAAUAGAUCUAGGACCUAACAGGAUAACUCGAAUCGUGCAAACUAGCUAGCCCAAGAGGUGAAGAUAGCCGAGGACCAUAUAAGGAGUCCAAGUUCUUAUUCCUACAACUGGUGUGGGGUUAGUCUCCAGGUAUUGUCCAGGAGUGGACAUUUAAAGUGUUGAUAGUAUGAAAUGGGGUACAAAAUCAAUAAACGAUGGAUUGAGAAGGGCCUAGCUAUGAUACAUAAUAAGAAAUCGACCCUAGCUUAACAGCAAAAGCUAAUUCAAUAGGGAACGAUUGCGGAUCGCAAAGACCAUGUGCUAUAGAAACUAUAAAGGUCACAUAAUAUAGAACAUGCCUCUCACCAAUGUAUCAAGAUCGUCUUUUUCCUUUGCGUUACUACUACCGCCACUAUAACAUAAAAAAGAAAGUUCCUCCGCGUGUCUUUGUUUGAGCUAAGUUGAGUUGAUCUAGAAGUCCAACAGUGAUAAGGGUUCUGCAAGGAAAAAGGAUAAAGCAAAAAGAGUCCUAUUCAACCAGGGGAGGAGAAACGGCUACAAUAAGGAGUGAAGUUACUUGAUAGAAUAAAGAAGAAGGAAGCAGAAAUCAAGAAGGACUCUACUACAGGAGAAAUUAUCAGGGUGCAUAUAUACAACAAAGCACGAUUAAGUAACGCACUGAAUGAAUAGAAAAGAAAAUCAACAAUCAGCAUAAAAGUUCAAAUACUUGAAGAAGAACCUGUUUCCUUACUUAGCAAGUCGUAGACUGUGUAGUAAGUAGGUUACUUGAGUUGUAAUGAGUCAUUGUUCUAGUCUCAGUGAUCUAUAAACUGAGUUAGGAAUUGUGUCUUCAAGUUGGAAACUCGAAGACUUGGGAACACUUAUCUUGGGAAGAUUUCUGUUUUUGUUAAGAUAGGAAUUAGAAGUUUUAAUUCCUAGUUAACAUGAAGUCUUGGAUUUUUCUUGAUUGUUGAGGCUCAAGUAUCAUAGUGAAGUUGGGGUUAAAUCCUGUAGAGGUACAGGUCGUGUUUUUUUUACACCUUUCUUGAGCUGGGUAUUUUCCACGUAAAAACACUAUGUUCAGUAUUUACUUCUGUGAACCACGUUUACUUACUUGUUCCAUAGUUAGGCAAACUAGGAAGGUUGAUACUCUAACAGUUGUCAUUAACUUCGUGUAGUUUUUAUGCUUGGGAAGACCUAUCAUCAACUGUUAUCAGGUUGCCAAAUCUCGAAGAGCUCAAACUUAAACAUUGUCAAUUCUAGAAUAGCCGAUGGAGCUUGAGGGCUAACGACAAGGUCGAAAGCUUGAAAUUGUUGUUACUGAGCGACCUAUAUCUUGACGUAUGGAAAGCUAGCAGUGAUAACUUCCCAAAGCUAAAACGCCUUGUUCUGAAGAAUUGCGAGAACCUGCAAGAAGUUUCAUUAGAUUUUGGCGAAAUUGGUACUUUGGGAUCAAUUGAGUGGAGUACCGCAGACAUAUAUCAGAGUAAUUAAGGAUAUGUAUGAGGGAGCGAAAACCCAGGUGAGGACGGCGGGAGGAGACUCAGAGCAUUUCAUUGUCCCGACAGGAUUGCAUCAGGGAUCUACUCUUAGUCCCUUUUUUUUGCGUUAGUGAUGGAUGUGUUGACGCGGCGUAUUCAAGGGGAGGUGCCGUGGUGUAUGCUUUUUGCAGACGAUGUAGUUCUGAUAGAUGAGACUCGAGGGGGUGUGAAUGACAAAUUAGAGGUGUGGAGGCAAACUCUUGAGUCUAAAGGGUUCAGGGUGAGCAGAAGCAAGACAGAGUAUGUGGAAUGCAAGUUUAAUGACGUGAGGCGGGAGAAUGAGGUAGUAUUGCAUCGGGGGUGCUGUGUGAUAAGAAGGUGCCGCCCAAGCUUAAAGGUAAAUUCUAUAGGGUGGUAGUCCGUCCGGCCUUGCUGUAUGGAGCGGAGUGUUGGCCAGUUAAGAACUCCCACAUCCAAAGAAUGAAGGUGGCAGAAAUGCGGAUGUUGCGCUGGAUGUGUGGACUGACUCGAGGGGAUAGAGUUCGGAAUGAGACUAUCCGGGAGAAGGUUGGUGUGACUUCAGUGGAGUGUAAGAUGCGGGAAGCACGAUUGAGAUGGUUCGGACACGUGAAGAGGAGGGGCAUGGAUGCCCCGGUCCGUAGGUGUGAGAGGCUAGCGUUGGAUGGUUUUAGGCGGGGUAGGGGUAGGCCGAAGAAGUACUGGGGGGAGGUGGUUAGGCGGGACAUGGAACCAUUACAGCUCACCGAGGACAUGACCCUAGAUAGGAAGGUCUGGAGGGCGCGAAUUUCGGCAGAGGAUUAGGGCUAGUUUGGGUCGCUAGUGUAAGGAAUUACUUGGUGGGGGUUUUAUUCCUGUUAUGUUUCCGUAUUCAGUGUUCCAUGUUUAUUACGAAUCUGUGUGCUUUCCUCUGCUUUCCUCUAUUUUAUAUUCCUUAUGGGUGUCGUAUUUAUGUUAUGUAAUCUGCUUCUGUGCGUUACUAUGUGUUUGUGUGGUAUCUCGUGCCUUGAGCCGGGGGUCUUUCGGAAACAGCCUUUCUACUUCAUCAGAGGUAGAGGUAUGGACUGCGUACAUCUUACCCCCCCAGACCCCACUAGGUGGGAAUACACUGGGUUUGUUGUUGUUGUUGUGGGAUCAAUUGAGUUACAUGAUUGCAGCACAACUGUUGAAGAUUCGGCAAGAAAAAUUGAACAAGAACAAGAGGACAUGGGAAAUAAUUCUCUUAAGGUCUACAUCCAUAACAGUCGCAGUAAGUUCUAAUUCUCUCUCAAAAGUUCUUCAAUUCUUCACAUUGUUAAUUAGGAUGAUGACUUCUACUUGUUAUCUUGCAUAUGUAGGGAAUUGAAGCUUAUUUUGAGGGACCAUCUACUGAUGUCUUCCAAAUGCAGAACCUUUUAGGUUGCUAAAUUCAUGUUUUAGGAACAAGCAUGUUUAAUACAUGUCUUGCCCAUUUGUUAUUAGUUAUAUCGUAAAUGGCAACUACCGAUGUACUGUAAAAGUACGAAAUGUGUAAGGUUUCAAUCUAUUAUGCAUUGUAUGUGGAGUAUAAGAAUCAAUGGUUUUGACACUUUGAAUCUGUUUUCUAUGUUCAUAUAUAUAAUACGUGUUUGUCAUUGAUGGGUGGUGCGUCAUGUGCUUUGAGAUGCUGGAUAUCGAUAAUCUUUCUCAAGGAUGGUAGUAACAAUAAGUAAUCAAGCUUUUGAUCAGAGGCGGAUCUAUAAUUUAAAGAUUGUGGGUUCCAAUUUAUGAUUUUUUCCCACUAGACCAAUAACACACUUUGUUUGUGGGUUCCCAACUUAUAAUUCUUAUAUUUUUACUAGUUUUUUCAAUAUAAAUUCAAGAACCGUACGAAAGUUACUGGAUUUCCGAGAAUACGCACUGAAUACUCUACAUCCGCCCCUGCUUUGCUUCUGAUAGGAAUGUCAGGGAGUACAAGUAAAGGGUAUGAUCUCCAUGGUGUCUUGGUGCAUGAUAAGUAAACGAUGAAUGAGAUUUUUCUACUUCUUGUGACCUGACUUCAUAUAAAGCUUCAAAAAAAAGAAUCAUCAUUUUCUCAUCAGCUCUUGUUUCGUUAAGUUUAAUGUGUAUUCAGAAACGAAACUCAUGAGAUAAAAUUGAGAUCUCAUAAGAUAAAACGAAAUUCCCAUAUGUGAAGCUACUGAAGAGAAAUAUUAUGCGUUUUCAACUAAGUUUGUUGUUUUUGUGAUGUAGUUUUCUUCUUAUUGUUGUGUUAUAAACCAGUACUGUAUCAUAAUAAAGAACUCAUUUUCACCUAACAUUGUGCCAUUCUCUGAGAAACAGAGGUGUCUACUCUUCGCUAAGCUACAAUAUACCAUCUGUUUCUACACAAAAGUUUACUUUUUCUUAAAGCAAAUUCUCUUACACAGGUAGGCGCGGAGGUACAAUCAUUGAAGGGUGGAGGAGCCAGAAUUCCUACCUGAAAACUACGUUACUCAAUUUGCGUUUCAAUCUCGUUUAUGGUUCCGAUUAGGUCAACGGCAGUGGACCUAAUAGGAAACACAAACAAGAAGGCAUGGGAUGAAAUUUAAAAUUCAAAAAUUGCCGCCUACGCUUAGAUUCCUUAUUUUGUUAUUAUGGACAAAAUAAAACUAAUAAGUUAAACUAUUUAUACAUUUAAAAGGCUUCAGUUUUUUUUAAACGUACUAAAAAGAUAGUAAAAUAUAAACUUAAAUGAAGCAAGUACUUCAAAAUGUAAGAUUUUCAUCCUAAUGGCAGAAUAGGCUUCCAACGACUUAUCAAUUUAGGCUUUGAUGAUGAUAAUAUUUUUUAUUAAUCCUUGUUCAAAAUCUAUUUUUAAAAAUUACAAAAGGAAAGAUGAAUCGAACUACAUAGCAAAUUCACUCACAAUAAUCCUGAAUUCAUCCUUCCACAGCAAAAUCUAAACACUCACAAGAAAACAAAAAGUACAUGUCAAGGGGACUCAUCUACUUAUAGUGAUGGAGAGGAUCUACAGAUCUACUUACAAAUACGACAGAUCAAAGAGUAAGUUGUCUUUUCUUAAAAUUUUGUAAAUUCAAAAUUCUAACUCCACCCUGUCAGCUCAUUUUUUGCUUGUUUGUGUUGAUGGAGGUGAUGGUGGUGGUGGCUUCAUAGGAGGGAGAUGCAUAUGAGAUUCCUUAUUAGACUCUGGUGGUGACAUUGUUAUUUUGCCUCUAAAACCAAACAGCUUAGCUCUCUAGCAACCUUGAAUUGAGAAAACAAUUCUUUGUAGGAAUUAUCAUAUUGUUGCAUGGACCUUGCUUCUAUUAAUUCCACACAAAUUGAUUCAUGGAUGAUACAGGAAUAAUCACGGAUAUGGACUUAUGGGAGUGCAUGUUGGGUCCGAGACUUGGUGUGUCCAAUUGAAGUGCAAAAGGGAACCUAAGUGCACUAUAAAUCAGCCAACAUAUUACACUUGAUGGGCACCUAAGUCUCUAAGGGGCCUUUUGGUCUUUUUGUAUUUUAUUUGUAACCUAGUAUAGAUAGAACAUUGUAGGGCUUUUAGACUUAGUUUAUUGAUGAUGUUGUAAGUCUUAAGACAUUGGAAAAACACAAGUCAUCUCUUCUCUUUGGAGGCAAAACCAAAACUAGGAUACAACAAUAGGGUGGAUUCUCUUUUAUUGUUGUUUGCUUGGAAACAUUGAUGCUUGGGAGGUGGAUUCUGAUCUUGUGUCUUUGUAAGAGAUAGGUUUAUUAUUGUGUGUAGUGUUAAGGGUCCAAGAUUUUCCAUUCUUGGGUUCUUAAGUUUAUACCUUCAUGUGGUCUAUCUAUCUAUCCUUUUACCUUCUUGUAAUCUUGUUUAUUGUUUGUGUUGUAAUCUUGUGUUCUUGUUGUUAUUGUUGGCUGAAAGUUGCUCUCAAAGGGGUCCUCGGGUUCUAGUUGAUUUGUGGACUGUUUUGAGUAGUUUUUGAGCCUUCCGAAGUUUUUAUUGUAUCAUUUGGUAUCAAAGCAUGGCUUGAUCUUGUUCCCAUAAGAUCAAUAUUGGGCUUGUUAGUGGAGAAAUAAAAAAAAAGUGUUCAAAACUGAAAAUUUCAAAAAAAAUAGCAAUCUGUCCGUCUUGUGUUCUUGGCCGAAAAGUGUGUUCUUGUUGUGUCUUGGCUGAGGUUUUUACUUGUAUUUGUUAUCUCUAAGUGUUAGUUUUGUUCCUCACUAACACAUUGAGUCUAUAUCUAGAUUUGAGCUUUAAAAAUUGAUGUUGUUGUUGUGAACAUAAGACUUGGCCGAAUUGUUAUUGAAACAUUCUUGUGGUGGACUGUUUUGGCCUUGUGAUCUUCAUCUUGUUGUUGUUCUAAGCUUGGCCUUAUGGUAUUUUUGCUCAUUGGUGGCCUAAGAAUCAUCUUGUUAAAGUUGUAGUUGUCUUGGCCAAGUGUUGAAGAUAUUGUAUUGUGAAAAUUGAAAGUUGGCCAUGUGAAAAUUGUUGGUGUUCUUGGAGAUUGUUGUUGGUUGUUCUUGGUGAUUGUUGAUGUUGUUCAUGGAGUUCUUCACAACCUUCAUAGCUUUUUAAAAUAAAGUGAACCUUAGAUCUAUAAAGGUGAAGGGAAAAAGGUAAAUCUUUGUUAGUCUUGAAAGACUUACCAUCACUCAUCAACUAGUGAAUCACAUCUCAACCACUUUCUACCAACUUUCCAUGAUUCAAGAAUCCGUGUUUUAAGGGUAGUACAAGUCUAGUCAAAGACUUUUGAGUCUUGAAUUUUGAAUUGAAAAGAAGCUCCAAAGACUAGUUUGUAUUUUCCUCCAUUGAACAAAUUCCACCAAAGGUCCCAAAUUGAAAAUUGACCAGGACUUGAACUUUUGAAAUUAACAACUUGAUAAAACCAAACCAAUACGUGGCUGCCACGUCAUAUUUUACUGUUUACACGAUAAAAUUUUAAGCUCAAAUUUUGAUCUUUUAGUUUCAUUGUGUUGUCUCUUUAGUUUCGUUUGUUGAUUCCAUUACUAACUUACGAGCUAGUACUAGAUUGUAAGUUAGUUUUGAAACCGUUCUUUGUGUUAACUUUCCUUUUAUGUGUCUUAAUCCUUUGAGUCAUUGUAACGUCCUUGUGUUUUUUUUUCCUUACUCUUUGGAGUUGUUUUCAACAUUGGAUUCACCUAUCAACACCUCUCAGAGUACAAGCAAUCUUUCAACACUUGUGAGAUUGAAUGUGAGGGAUCCGCGAGACCCGGAAUAAAAGAGAGAGUGAGGAUGUUUUGUAUAACUAACAUGUUUUAUAUUUUGUAGGUAACUUCUUUGCCACAAUGGAUACCAUUUUGGCCCACUUUGAUGCUAUUUCCCAAAAAAUACCUAAGGAGAAUGCGGGUCUUGACAAGUUGGGCUUGGAUAUGUCUACUAUACUUGAGAGGUUGGAUCGAGUAAAGAGUCAAAGGAAUUCUCGUGAUUCUACUUCCAAAGCUUUACCUCAAGCAAUCAAUCCUCCAAGACCACCACCAAAUGAUAUAGACAUAAGCCAAGCCACUAAAUGUCCUCCAAAUCGAGACCUACAUAGGCCGAUCCCUCCUCUAUUCGAUCAAGUCCAACAAAAAGGACUUGGAAGCCAAAUCUCUCCCAUCCAAGCUCCACAAUCGAAGCUCCACUUUACCAAAUCAAUCCUCUCAACCGAAACUCCACUUCACCAAAGCCGACAUGUCCAUGUAGAGGAGAAUGGUAGAAAGAAACAUGACGGAUAUGGAGUCUACGAUGAUGCUUGUAUGAUGGUAGGAGACUUAUUUCAGAUGAGAUUGAAGACAAAACUCAAGAUGGAGAGGAAGCCGAGAUUCAAAAUGAAGAUGUUGGCCGAGACUUGUGUUAAUAUUUUGCGGGCUAUUUUGAGUGGUUUAUUUUAAAGUGGCCAAUUAAACAAGGUAAAGCCGUGAAUUUGUGGGCAAAUUCCUCUCAAGAUAGAGAGGAUGAUACGGGAAUAAUCACAGAUAUGAACUUAUGGGAGUGCAUGUUGGGUCCGAGACUUGGUGUGUGCAAUUGAAGUGCAAAAGGGAACCUAAGUGCACUAAAAAUCAGCCAACUUAUUACACUUGAUGGGCACCUAAGUCUCUAAGGGGCCUUUUGGUCUUUUUGUAUUUUGUUUGUAACCUAGUAUAAAUAGAAUAUUGUAGGGAUUUUAGACUUAGCUUAUUGAUGAUGUUGUAAAUCUUAAGACAUUGGAAAAACACAAGUCCUCUCUUCUCUUUGGAGGUAAAACCGAAACUAGGAUACAAUAAUAGGGUGGAUUCUCUUUUGUUGUUGUUUGCUUGGAAACAUUGAUGCUUGGGAGGUGGAUUCCGAUCUUGUGUCUUUGUAAAAGAUUGGCUUAUUGUUGUGUAGUGUUAAGGGUCCAAGAUUUUCCAUUCUUGGGUUCUUAAGAUUAUAUCUUUAUGUGGUCUAUCUAUCUAUCCUUUUACCUUCUUGUAAUCUUGUUUAUUGUCUGUGUUGUAAUCUUGUGUUCUUGUUGUUAUUGUUAAAUUCGAAUCUUGUGUCUUAUUUUUUACUAUCUUGUGUUCAUCUUGUUGUUGUUGUUGUUGCUGUUUUGGUGUUAAAAUACACCUUGUAUCUUGUAAUCCUUGUGUUGUUAUUGUUGGCCGAAAGUUUCUCUCAAAGGGGUCCUCGGGUUCUAGUUGAUUUGUGGACUGUUUUGAGUAGUUUUUGAGCCUUCCAAAGUUUUUCUUGUAUCAUUUGGCCGAUUGAACGAGGUGAAGUCGUGAAUUUGUGGGCAAAUUUCUCUUAAGAUAGAGAGGAUGAUACGAGAAUAAUCACGGAUAUGGACUUAUGGGAGUGCAUGUUAGGUCCGAGACUUGGUGCGUGCAAUUGAAGUGCAGAAGGGAACCUAAGUGCACUAAAAAUCAUCCAACAUAUUACACUUGAUGGGCACCUAAGUCUCUAAGUGGCCUUUUGGUCUUUUUGUAUUUUAUUUGUAACCUAGUAUAAAUAGAACAUUGUAGGGCUUUUAGACUUAGUUUAUUGAUGAUGUUGUAAGUCUUAAGACAUUGGAAAAACACCAGUCCUCUCUUCUCUUUGGAGGCAAAACCGAAAUUAGGAUACAACAACAGGGUGGAUUCUUUUUUGUUGUUGUUUGCUUGGAAACAUUGAUGCUUGGGAGGUGGAUUCCGAUCUUGUGUCUUUGUUAGAGAUAGGUUUAUUGUUGUGUGUAGUGUUAAGGGUCCAAGAUUGUCCAUUCUUGGAUUCUUAAGAUUAUACCUUCAUGUGAUCUAUCUAUCUAUCCUUUUACCUUCUUGUAAUCUUGUUUAUUGUUUGUGUUGUAAUCUUGUGUUCUUGUUGUUAUUGUUAAAUCCGAAUCUUGUGUCUUCUUUUUUAUCAUCUUGUGUUCAUCUUGUUGUUGUUGUUGUUGCUGUUUUGGUGUUAAAAUACACCUUGUAUCUUGUAAUCCUUGUGUUGUUAUUGUUGUCCGAAAGUUGCUCUCAAAGGGGUCCUCGGGUUCUAGUUGAUUUGUGGACUGUUUUGAGUAGUUUUUGAGCCUUCCAAAGUUUUUCUUGUAUCAAUGGAUGAGCAAAGAUAUUAGCAAAAAUGAAAUUAUACCUAGUAUUGCACUCAUUCUUUCAAAUUCUCAAGUAGUAUUGAAUCCACAAUAUGCAUUUCAAUUUAUAUUAGUCUCUCUUACCUUUGUUCAUUUUCUAUGGAUUUUUAAUUCCAAAUUUUGAUAAACUAACACGGAAAUGGUGACUCGUGAGUCAAAAAGGGCCGGAAAAUCAACAUCAUAAUUACAUUCUUAAGCAACUAGUGAUGUAAAAUAAUCAGUAGAUUAUAUGUAGGUCAAAAUCCACUAAAUAAUUUAAUUGAUAAUAUUUGGUUAUUCUAGUUCCAAACCUGUUGAAUAUAAAUAUCUUCAUAAACGAGUAAUAAUAAAAUAUUGUUUUAGUCAGAUCCCGUGACUAGUUAAAAAGUUGACUCUUUGACUCUCAAGUCCUCAUUCUACUCUCUCGGUCUAUUAGUUGAUCAUCUUAUAAUAAUGUAUAUUUCAAAUUAUUUAUUUAUUAUAUAUAUAUGAGAGAUUGGAAAUAGAAUUUCGGGUUUCUUUAGGCAUUUGGAAUUUAUACAUAUCAAGUUUUAUUUAUUUUCAGCGAAUUUUUAAAGAUCGACAAAAGGCCACGUUAUUUAUUGUUCUUUUGUUUUUUGGUAAAAUGGUGACAUAAUUUAAAUUGAUAUUAGAGUAGAUAUGGUGACAUAAUUUAAAUUGAUAUUAGAGUAGAUAGAAGUUUAGAUGCAAAUCUAAAUCAAUCACCAUUCACCAUCAUCAUUAAGAAAAAUUUUCACCCACUAAUUUGGAGAAAAAAGUCAGAUUCACACGUAUUUGAGAACAUGUGUCGUGUUAAAGCGCUCAUGGUCCGAUUAGAGCAGGUUUAAUUUUUCUUUAAAAGAAACUCAAAUCAAUUAAGUUGAUUUUUUUAGAUCUUGGAAUUAAAUAGAUCAAUUAAGUCGAUUUUUCAUCACUUUAACUUUUAAUAAGACAUCUAUCACUUUAACUUUUAAUAAGACAUCUAGACGAUGAUUGAAUUAAACAAUUAAACUUGCAGUCCUCAUGGUGAAAAUUUCAAUAAUAUUGAACCAAAAAGAAGCGACAAUUAUAUAGAAGAAAACAGGGGCGGAACUAGGGAGGAAGCUGCAUACGAAAUAGGUAGAACAUAAUAGUUAGCUUUAGUCAAAACUCUGUAUUUGUGUAAAACAUCAAAUUAAUUUAUAAUGUGCAUAAAUAAUUUAUUCAAGAAUCCAAUAAGCUUACUCUUUUUAGAACUCAGAAUUCUGAACUCAUUGAUAACAUUUUAUAUAGAGAGAACAAUAUGUGUGCUUGUUUAUUAAGAAUUGUUUCAAUCACAUAUAUGUUAGGUUUCAAAACUACUACAGCCAUAUUAAUAGCAUGCAACUACUUCAAACAUCAAUGUUUGCUAAUAGAACUUGUAGUCUUUCUCAAUUCUUUCAAGAGGUAGGUCAUCAAUAGAUUUUUUUCUUUUUUGUUUCUUAUUUCAAGAUAUCAAGAUCGUUAUUAUGUUGUUGACAGUAAAAAACAAAGUGUUUUAAUACACCACUUAUUUUGAUUUCUUGCUCAAACACAUUUAAUCUUAGAAACAAACGAAAACAUAAUCAAAUUACAUAAUAAUUUUUCUCAAAAUAAAUAUUCAAAAAUCAUAUCUAAGCACUCAAAAACCCAAAGUAAAAUCGACCAAAAAUUAUGAAAAAUUAAAAUCAGAAAGUACAUGGUAGGAGUGGACACAUUGUAACUUUGCAACUAGCAAGAAAAAUCUAGAUUGAAAGUUCACAUGGAGAUGGAUUUCAUAUUUUCAUUAUUAUGUUGUUGACAGUAAAAACAAAAUGUUUUAAUAUACCUCUUAUUUGGAUUUCUUGCUCAAGCACAUUUGUUCUUAGAAACAAACGAAAACACAAUUAAAUUACAUAAUAAUUUUUCUCACAAUAAACAUUCAAAAAUCAUAUCUAAUAAGCACUCAAAAACCCGAAGUAAAAUAAUCUUUCAGAAAAAUUUAAAAAUUAAAAUCAGAAAAUAAUUAGUACAUGGUAGGAGUGGACAGUACACAUUGUAACUUAGCAACUAGCAAGAAAAAAUCUUGAUGGAAAGUUCAUAUAUAUAUAUAUAUAUAUAUAUAUAUAUUUACCUCUAUCUCCGAUUAUAUAAGUCGGGUUGAUGUCUUACUGCUUGUUAAAAUUUCACUAAGCAAAUAAUACUACUAAUACUUAACUAACAGAUUAUUGAAUCCAGUAAAUCCAUAGACUGUGGUAAAAUUUAAAACCCAAAAUCAUAAAUUUUAAAUUCUGAAUUUGUCUCUACCUCCUUUAAAAGAUUAGAAAACGAACUAGCUUCUCAAGCUCCAUUUAUGUACAAAAUUUACGUUUUGUGCACUGUCAGUAUACAAAAUUUUUUCUUUUUCAAUUUUAAUGUACAAAAUUGGGUAACCUGAAAUAAUAUUUCACAUUUACCUGAUAGUAUAAAAUAUUUUUGUACACUGACGAUGAACAAAACUUAAUUCUUUUAAUCAAAUCAGUACAUAUCUUGUCGUAGUGGCAUAGUGGGCUUGGUGCUCAUGGAUAGCCUGCUAGUGGUGGUGGUGGUGGCGAUUGUAGUAAUAUCGAUGAUGGUGGAGGUGGAGUCAACAACUCCGGCAGUGGUGGUGGUGGUGAUAGCAAUGGGGCUAGUGUUGAUGAUGGCGGAGGUGAUGGUGGGCUUGGGGGCCCGACGCUCCAACGAAGACCUAAAUUAUGUUGUGGAGGUGGUGGUGAUGGUGCUGCUCCAUCCUUAUUCCGGUCUAAACAUUUUAUCUCCUUGUAAGGAAUUUAAUGUAGUGACCUUAAUGAUGCUUGGCUGCAACAUUUGUCCACAAUGACUAAUUGAUGGAUGAGUAAGGAUAUAAAUAGACAUGAAAUUAUAGUUGCAUGCCUCAUUAUUUCAAUUUCUCAAGAAUGUGGAACUACAUAAAAGUGACAAUUAUAUAGAAGAAAACGGAGAUUAAUUGAUCCAAAAUUUGAAAUUUAGGAUUUGUGAAAUGUCGAUUAUAUGGACCUCACAAGUUCCGUUCCACAUGGGUCAAGAUUACCGAAAGCAGAAGUGUGAG
rnacentral:lncRNA from 1 species